UGACCUUUAUUGGAGUAUAUUGACAAGUCGUUGCUGUGGCGCCGACUCCGACUACCGUGUCAUUAAUGUCUACCUGCUGUUAGAACCGUUAAUAAGCGAGGUUGUGAUUUUUUAUUUUAUCCCGUGGAGACGGGCAGCUAUCCACUCAGGAUGGGAGGAAAUGGGAGCAAAGCGAGGACUGUAUCUUUCAGGCUGGACGAACACGAGAAGGUCACAGUAGUUGAAGGAGUGAAGCUUUCUGAGAAUGUCCGCCGGCGGAUGAGGGAAUCUGCUGGUUCGGAAAGAACUUGGAGUUUGCCAUCUGGUCCAGACAUUAAAAAGACAUCACCAAGUUCAAAAUCUGCAGAAACAUCAUCUUUGCAGACACAGGAAGAGAUGCGUAAAAACUAUGAGCGUCAACAGGCUCUGCUGGAGGAGCAGCUGGCCAAGCUCAGCCAGAGGGAGAGAGAGUCUUCAGCCAUCAAAGACAUGGAUAGGAGCAGCCCUUCUGCAUACGGAGAGAAAAGUUAUGAAAAGAGCGACGUACUGCCAGCAGAUUUGAAUGCGUGGGCUAGACUGUUGGAGCGGAAAGAACAGGAGCUGGCCACAAUCCAGAGUUUCUACAAAGAGCAAUUAGAAAUGAUGGAGAAAAAAAACCUUGAGAACUACAAGCAGACAGCUGAAGAGUACUUUGAGGCCGCAGCUAAAAUUGGAGAGCGGAUACGGCCCCAGUACAUUUCAACCAUGUGCCCUGAGCUGCAGGCCAAAGUGCUUCAAUGCUAUAAUGAAAACCCAAAGCAGACACUGCACUGCUCCAAACUGGCUAGACAGUACAUAGACUGUGUUCAGCAAGGGAAAAAGUGAGACAACGAAGAGUUACUGUUACGAAAGUGAACUUUCUCCAAAGGCUACAUUUGCUUCCUUCCAUUGUGUUAAUGCUGUUGGAGCUGUGCAGCUGUUCACCCCAGAAAUAACAGAGCGGUGUGACAAAUCAUGGCUGAGAAAUGCAAGAAUAGCCGAAACAAGGGGUGCAGUGAAGCAAUGAAGAAACAAAAAUCAUAUCAAAUCCGUCCAUUAUUUUUUCCUUCUUCUAAAUCAACUUUACUUAUCUGUCCACACAUCUGUUUAGCCACCAAUAUGUAUUAACCACCAUUUCUCACAUGCCCUUUUUUGUUUUUUUUCUUUGUUUGUUUUCUUUCUCUGAAUCUAAUACGUGUUGAUUUAAUGCCAAGUUGUGCCAGAGCUCGUUCCAAAAUAAAUUCUCAUAAUCCGGUG